UACAGAGGUCUCAAGCGUUGUUCUGAUUCAUUGGGCGCAAAGGGUGCGUAGGUGGCGCUGUAAGUCGGGUGUGAAAUUUCGAGGCUUAACCUCGAAACUGCAUUCGAUACUGCGGUGCCUGAGGACUGGAGAGGAGACUGGAAUUCAUGGUGUAGCAGUGAAAUGCGUAGAGAUCAUGAGGAAGACCAGUGGCGAAGGCGGGUCUCUGGACAGUUCCUGACACUGAGGCACGAAGGCCAGGGGAGCAAACGGG
rnacentral:rRNA from 1 species